rnacentral:rRNA from 1 species
UACGUAGGGGGCAAGCGUUAUCCGGAAUCAUUGGGCGUAAAGGGCGCGUAGGCGGUGAGAUGCGUCCGUUGUGAAAUCGCCCGGCUCAACUGGGCGGGGUCAGCGGAUACGGUCUCACUUGAGCAAGCUAGGGGGCAAUGGAAUUCCCGGUGUAGCGGUGAAAUGCGCAGAUAUCAGGAGGAACACCAAUGGCGAAGGCAGCUCGCUGGGACGUGACUGACGCUGAGACGCGAAAGCGUGGGGAGCAAACAGG